AGAGUUUGAUCAUGGCUCAGGACGAACGCUGGCGGCGUGCUUAAUACAUGCAAGUCGAGCGAGGUUACUGUUUUGGAUCCCUUCGGGGUGAAGAAGCUUUAACCUAGCGGCGGACGGGUGAGUAACGCGUGGGUAACCUACCCCAAAGUCCGGGAUAACAGCGGGAAACCGCUGCUAAUACCGGAUGUCUUUACCUUGGGGCAUCUUGAGGUAAAGAAAGGUAACGCUUUGGGAUGGGCCCGCGUCCCAUUAGCUAGUUGGUGAGGUAACGGCUCACCAAGGCGACGAUGGGUAGCCGGCCUGAGAGGGUGGACGGCCACACUGGGACUGAGACACGGCCCAGACUCCUACGGGAGGCAGCAGUAGGGAAUAUUGCGCAAUGGACGGAAGUCUGACGCAGCGACGCCGCGUGAGCGAUGAAGGUCUUCGGAUCGUAAAGCUCUGUCCUUGGGGAAGAAGGCGAAAGCUUGACGGUACCCAAGAAGAAAGCCCCGGCUAACUACGUGCCAGCAGCCGCGGUAAUACGUAGGGGGCGAGCGUUGUCCGGAAUUACUGGGCGUAAAGGGUGCGUAGGCGGCCCUUUAAGUCGGAUGUGAAAGCCCGCGGCUUAACCGCGGAAUGGCAUUCGAAACUGGAGGGCUUGAGUGUCGGAGAGGGUAGUGGAAUUCCCAGUGUAGCGGUGAAAUGCGUAGAUAUUGGGAGGAACACCAGUGGCGAAGGCGACUACCUGGACGAUAACUGACGCUGAGGCACGAAAGCUAGGGGAGCAAACAGGAUUAGAUACCCUGGUAGUCCUAGCCGUAAACGAUGGGUACUAGGUGUGGGUGGUUUCGAUACCAUCCGUGCCGUAGUUAACGCAUUAAGUACCCCGCCUGGGGAGUACGUGCGCAAGCAUGA
rnacentral:rRNA from 1 species